GGAAUAGCUGCGAAAGGAUAGAGCGCUGCAAUCGCACUGCAGAGGUCGUGAGUUCGACUCUCAUCGGCUCCACCA
rnacentral:tRNA from 1 species